rnacentral:lncRNA from 1 species
UUAUCUGCUGGUGGAGAGCUUUCCUCUGCCACUGCUGGAGGCAGCACACCUUUGACCUGAAGGUGUUUAUAAGGCAGCAAUUAUUCCCGGUUACUCUUUAACAGUAGGACGCUUAAAAUCCCAUUGAUUUUAUUGAAUCCCGUGCUCUGUUUGUCCUUCCCCUCGCCAGCACUCACAGUGAUUCAUGGGGUGGCUGAGACCUCGCGGCGCUCUGCAGCCUAUAAACCUUUGGAGUGGGCCCACUCCUGUCCUGCUGUGCCUUCACCUCUCCCAUGCUCGGAAGGGCAUUCCAGGCUGAGGUUUGGCUGUGAUUCCUGCUGGCAGCAGCUCCUGCCCUGUGAGCCUUCCUGAGCCGCAGGUAUGGAUGGAAGCAGAGCUCCACGGCGAUGAUCCCUCUUUGAUCUGCGAAGC